ACGGGUGAGUAACACGUGGGUGAUCUGCCCUGCACUUCGGGAUAAGCCUGGGAAACUGGGUCUAAUACCGGAUAUGACCUCAGGUUGCAUGACUUGGGGUGGAAAGAUUUAUCGGUGCAGGAUGGGCCCGCGGCCUAUCAGCUUGUUGGUGGGGUAAUGGCCUACCAAGGCGACGACGGGUAGCCGACCUGAGAGGGUGACCGGCCACACUGGGACUGAGACACGGCCCAGACUCCUACGGGAGGCAGCAGUGGGGAAUAUUGCACAAUGGGCGAAAGCCUGAUGCAGCGACGCCGCGUGAGGGAUGACGGCCUUCGGGUUGUAAACCUCUUUCAGCAGGGACGAAGCGCAAGUGACGGUACCUGCAGAAGAAGCACCGGCUAACUACGUGCCAGCAGCCGCGGUAAUACGUAGGGUGCAAGCGUUGUCCGGAAUUACUGGGCGUAAAGAGUUCGUAGGCGGUUUGUUGCGUCGUUUGUGAAAACCAGCAGCUCAACUGCUGGCUUGCAGCGAUACGGGCAGACUUGAGUACUGCAGGGGAGACUGGAAUUCCUGGUGUAGCGGUGAAAUGC
rnacentral:rRNA from 1 species